rnacentral:rRNA from 1 species
CACGUAGGGCGCAAGCGUUGUCCGGAAUUAUUGGGCGUAAAGAGCUCGUAGGUGGUUUGCUGCGUCCGCUGUGAAAACCCAAGGCUUAACCUUGGGCUUGCAGUGGAUACGGGCAGACGUAGAGGUAGGGAGGGGAGAAUGGAAUUCCCGGUGUAGCGGUGAAAUGCGCAGAUAUCGGGAGGAACACCGGUGGCGAAGGCGGUUCUCUGGGCCUUACCUGACACUGAGGAGCGAAAGCGUGGGGAGCGAACAGG